rnacentral:piRNA from 2 species
UCUAAGUGAUUCUGAAGUUUGGGACUGAG